rnacentral:ncRNA from 2 species
GGCUUUCGUGCGUUUUCUGGUGCCCGUCGGCGUGUCUCGCCGGCGGGUUAAACGGGAAGUUCGGUGAGCCCGCCAAAGGUAUCUGGAUGCCUGCGGACGAAUCCGACGCUGCCCCCGCAACGGUGAUCGAGCGAGAGGCCAUGAUGGCCUCUGAUGGUCGCGGCACAUGCCACUGAACGGAAUCGUUCGGGAAGGCGCCGCACCGGAACGCUCGUCAGCCCGGAGACCGGCCAGGGAAUGAUCGCGCGG